rnacentral:rRNA from 1 species
CCUACGGGAGGCAGCAGUGGGGAAUAUUGGGCAAUGGGCGCAAGCCUGACCCAGCAACGCCGCGUGAAUGAAGAAGGCUUUCGGGCUGUAAACCUCUUUUAUGAGGGAAGAAGGAAGUGACGGUACCUCAUGAAUAAGCCACGGCUAACUACGUGCCAGCAGCCGCGGUAAUACGUAGGUGGCCAGCGUUAUCCGGAUUUACUGGGUGUAAAGGGCGUGUAGGCGGGAUUGCAAGUCUGAUGUGAAAUCUAUGGGCCCAACCCAUAGCCUGCUUUUGAAACUGUAGUUCUUGAGUGCUGGAGAGGCAAUCGGAAUUCCGUGUGUAGCGGUGAAAUGCGUAGAUAUACGGAGGAACACCAGUGGCGAAGGCGGAUUGCUGGACAGUAACUGACGCUGAGGCGCGAAAGCGUGGGGAGCAAACAGGAUUAGAUACCCCAGUAGUC